rnacentral:lncRNA from 1 species
AUGACCGACUUUGCACGACCGGAAAAAGCCACAGCUCGGUGCCUGCGGGACCUGAUAGGAUCCGGGAAGGACACAAGGACACUGGCAGACCAGGGAGACUUUACAAGAAAACAGCCCCCCCUUUAUUGGCUACUGGCUAACACCCCCACACAGACCUCAACCCCCUCCCAGAGGAUUCAGUUUUCCAGACUGAUCCCAAAGGCACCGUCUUUCUGCGGAGGAAGCACAGAGAGGUCAGGACUCGCCCAAGGUCACACAGAGGUGCCUUCCAGCUGCAGAGGUGCAAACUGCUCUUCCUCUUCCAAGCUGCGUGUGAGAAGUCGCCCCCCUCCUCAGCAGCCCGCGACCUGGCCGAUGGGAAUGGAAGUUAGCUUUGGCUGCAUUUUCGUCGAUGUUAACACUACACCCACUCUUCCUUCCCCUCGAUUCCUGUCUCUUCGGGAGAAUGGGUGAGGGCCUGGAGCCGAGUCCCGGGUUUUCAGAUGGGCAAUUUGCAAAGUCAUCAGGGCGCCUCCUUGACUGUUGAUUCUUUAGAAGGGAAAAACAAAGCACCUUAAACAGCUCGCCAUGCCCAGGCUUGGCCGGCUCCCAAGCAGGGAAGGCCUGUGUCCAGACAGGGUGAUCCACAUCGCCACCAUUCCUCCCCGUCUGGUGACAAGUUCCGCCAGGGCCUGUCAUUCAGCCCCUGGCCACCGCCGGCUCCGCGCCAGCCUUACGCUGGGCACGAAGGAGGCUGCGCCUGGACAGACGGGGCUCUGGGCUGGCCCCCGAUCCCGGGAGCUGAUGAGGACACAAGGUGCGGGGACCAGGACAGGUGGCGGGGGGCUGGGGGACAGCAUCCUCUCGGAUGGGAGGAUGGCGGGGGGACCUCUGCUCUGAGACCAGAAGGUUUACAGAAGUCAAAGAAGGAGGAAGGGUAAUUAAGUGUUCAAGACAAAAGGAAUGAUCUAGGCUCAGGGCCCACAUGGGAGAGAGCCCUGAAUGUUUGAGCAGCAGACAGGCUAUCGGUUAGGGGCUGGGGCAGGUCCACAGCCCUGACCCAAUGUCACCUUCACACUCUUACCUUCACACUCUUUUGAAAAUGUCAAAGCUCAUAUAAAAGUCAGAGCUAUUAAUAAUACGUUUUAAGCUCACACGGCGUCU